rnacentral:rRNA from 1 species
UAGGGAAUCUUCGGCAAUGGACGAAAGUCUGACCGAGCAACGCCGCGUGAGUGAAGAAGGUUUUCGGAUCGUAAAGCUCUGUUGUAAGUCAAGAACGUGUGUGAGAGUGGAAAGUUCACACAGUGACGGUAGCUUACCAGAAAGGGACGGCUAACUACGUGCCAGCAGCCGCGGUAAUACGUAGGUCCCGAGCGUUGUCCGGAUUUAUUGGGCGUAAAGGGAGCGCAGGCGGUCAGGAAAGUCUGGAGUAAAAGGCUAUGGCUCAACCAUAGUGUGCUCUGGAAACUGUCUGACUUGAGUGCAGAAGGGGAGAGUGGAAUUCCAUGUGUAGCGGUGAAAUGCGUAGAUAUAUGGAGGAACACCAGUGGCGAAAGCGGCUCUUUGGUCUGUCACUGACGCUGAGGCUCGAAAGCGUGGGUAGCGAACAGGAUUAGAUACCCUGGUAGUCCACGCCGUAAACGAUGAGUGCUAGGUGUUAGGCCCUUUCCGGGGCUUAGUGCCGGAGCUAACGCAAUAAGCACUCCGCCUGGGGAGUACGACCGCAAGGUUG